UUCUUCACUUUAUCUUAAAAUUGAAUUUCCAGUAUAUUGAGUUAGUAUUCUGGUGAUUUAUUAUUUUAUAUGCUAGUUGGAUUCGUAAAACUUGGUCAAAGAUAGUGUUCUGUAAAAACGUCGUGUAAUGAACCAAAUUGCUGAAUUAAUUUCUGCUAUAACUUCGAGUAAUAGAAAAGUUCCGCGGUGGUUCCGUUAAUGAAAAUGCUGUUUAAUUGAUCUUGUCUGGAAAGUGAGUUCCAGGCACAUUAUCGACGACUUGGAGCACGAGACGUCUUUCCUGCGUAUUCCAUUAAUAAUAUCCGUUUAGUCGAAAUUCAUCUUUUAACUUGAAGCUAAUGUUAUCAAGUUGUCAAAUUUUAUAACAGAGAAUUCACACAACACUCGAUGUAAGCUAUAUGAAGUCACAUUGGCUGCACAUGUAAAUAUGAUGAAAAAGUGUACGUAAUAAGAUUUACUUAAUUAAAACAAUAAUUUAAAAGCUAAAAUGCAUUGUUUUUAAUCUUUUAAUUAUAACUUUAAAA